GGGACCAAAGUUGAUCCAUCGAAAAAAUGUUGUCUUGUCAAAUUUUUUUUUGCAUUAAAAUGAAAAAAAGUGAUCAGAAAUGGUUUUUGAUCGUGUUUUUUAACGUUGUCGAUAAAAAUUGACAUAGGGCUUUAGCACCCAAUUAAAAAAAAUUAAAAUAUAAAUAUAUGGAGCCUAAUAUUUCAAAAGGGCAAUAUUAUUAUAGUUUACAUAAGGUGUGAAAGGGACACACUCUUGUCUAAAAAAGUUAUGUGCCCUAAUGAAAUGGCAAGCACGAUAUAUAAAUUUCUGAAUUAUUUCAUUUUCCAUACGUAAUGUGUGAAUGGCCCCGCGCGCAGAAACGUCAAAACAAACGCGAUGCGCGAUGUGCAAGUAAAAAGAAAAGCGCUUGCAAGUAAAAGGGUUGCGCUUGGUCGAAGGAGCUACACAAUUUUGAAAACUUGCCCAAAAUUAAACCUGGGUCAUCAUUUGACGAAAGCGAUGCUGCUAUUUCAAACUGAGGAAAAGAUUACUUUUGCAGACCAAAUCGAUUUUAAUUGGUUUGAUUCAACUUCAGUGCAUAACGGAUUAGGGCAAUAGAUCGAUCGAAUUGAACUUCCAUUCGGCCAAAACCACGAUCCAGACCUUUCUGAAAUGAUCAAGCCAACUUUAACAGGGAACCUGGAAACAGAAUCGCGUGGAUUUCUUCGGAGAAAGUGGAGCAUUUCGCAGCAUGUUUUUGUUUGUUGAACUCAAGAACAACAAGAUCACCAGAUGAACUCUCGGUUAUCCGACGUUGCACGACUGCGCCGUUUUCCUUCAGAACAAUCUUCAGAACCGGCUGCUGAAGUAACCUCUGGGACCCCUCCAUCCGACCAACAAUUUCCAAAGAAUGACGGAGAUGGAGCUGAUCGUGGUGUACAGCUUUGGUCAACUCUACCACAGCGGAUACCUCCCUGAACUGUGUUUUUUCUUCUGUAUUAGUUUAUUCUAAGAUUUUUUUGUGUUAUUUUCUCUUCAGUUUAAUUUGUUGCCAAUUUAGAAUCCCGCAAACUCUCCAUCAUGUUUGAAUUUAAAAUCCAUAUAUCAUUAGGACAAUUCAGACAAAAAUAUAAUAUAUAUAUCAAAUAAAAUGAAAAAAAUAAAUAACCUAUUUGACCAAAGCAAAAUUAAUGUUUUCUAGCUCAAAAUUCCGAAAAUCCUUGAAAAAUUGAUGUUCAUUCGAAUUGUUACAACUGUUCCCCAAAAUGUAAUGCUCCAUGAAAAAUCACUGAAAUAACUAUUUAAAACCAUAAAAAUACCAUUUGAGAAAUGGUGAAAUCCCUAAAAUAUAUACGCAAAAAUGAACUUUCAAAAAGCACUUGACAAAGUGUCGCUAGAAGAAAAAAUCAAAUAGUGAAUAUUGCUAACAACAUAUAUGGGGAAUAGUUCACUAUUUGAGAGACAGUGAGGAAUUAAAAAAAAUAUUUACCAAAUAGUUGCUAUACAAUUUGGUAAAAGGUUGAUUGAAUAUUUAACAAAUGAUUUUCAAACGGUUUUUUUCUA